rnacentral:rRNA from 1 species
UUUAACUGAGCGUUCAGUUACUUGACGUAGACCCGAAACCGGGCGACCUACCCAUGAGCAGGAUGAAGCGAAAGUAAAAUUUCGUGGAGGUCCGAACCCACGAGCGUUGAAAAGCUCGGGGAUGACUUGUGGGUAGCGGUGAAAUUCCAAUCGAGCCCGGAGAUAGCUGGUUCUCCCCGAAAUAGCUUUAGGGCUAGCCUCAAGGUGAGAGAUACGGAGGUAGAGCACUGAAUGUCCUAGGGGGUAUUGCACCUACCGAAGACUAUCAAACUCCGAAUGCCGUCAUCUUAUACUUGGGAGUCAGACUGUGGGUGAUAAGAGUCAUAGUCGAAAGGGCAACAGCCCAGAUCGUCAGCUAAGGUCCCUAAAUGUAAGUUAAGUGGUAAAGGAUGUGGGAUUGCACAGACAACCAGGAUGUUGGCUUAGAAGCAGCCACUCAUUCAAAGAGUGCGUAAUAGCUCACUGGUCGAGUGAUCCUGCGCCGAAGAUUUCCGGGGCUAAAACUUACUACCGAAGCUACGGCAUCAGUAAUGAUGGGUAGGGGAGCUUCCCAUACGGGUUGAAGCAUGACCGUAAGGACAUGUGGACAGUAUGGGAGUGAGAAUGUUGGCAUGAGUAGCGAGAUGUGGGUGAGAAUCCCACAGGCCGUAAACCCAAGGUGUCCAGGGGAAGGUUCGUCCGCCCUGGGUUAGUCGGGACCUAAGCUGAGGCCGAAAGGCGUAGGUGAUGGACAACAGGUUGAUAUUCCUGUACUACCGAUAACCGUUUGAGAGAAGGGAUGACACAGUAGGAUAAGCUAAGCACACUGUUGGUUAUGUGUGCCCAAGCAUUGAGGCAGUCAAAGUAGG